rnacentral:lncRNA from 1 species
CUGUCACAGUGGUAGCCAGCCUGCUGUUAAGUACUUGUUGUGUCGCAGGUUCAAUCCCUGCUUUUGGCAAAUUUUCUUUUUUAGAUUUCGUCAACUUAAUACUAGAGAACGCAAAAAACAUGCGCGAAUUGGAACUCGAACGCGCGACCUGACGUUGGGUAGCAUUAAGCUUUAACCACCACAGCAAAAGAACUACCAUGAUUUACAUGAGAUUGGACCUUACUUAGCUAUAGUUUCAGCGUUCAAAUUCAAAAAUUUCAAAAAUUCGAUUUUUUUUGCUCGGGAUGCCCAAUUUCCGAGGGGUAGCGAGAAUCGCGGGUACCGCCCGGUAUCCGUUUUUCUCGCUCGGUACCCAAAACCGU